CAUUGCAUUUGUUUUGGCACCUUAUCACUGGGUGGUUAACAUACAUUAACAUCUGUGUAAUAUAAUGAGCUCAUCAUGCAUCUGAUAUCUGUCUCACCCUGCCCCGCUGUGCUGUGAGAGCAGGGGCAGUUGAUCUUUGGGGUUCAGCAGCUGCCUGGGAAUAAUGUUGGAAGCCUCCUUGUUUACUGUAGGAGUUGUACUGUAAUUGGAAGCAGUGUGUCUCCUGCCCCCUUCUCUGAACAUGCUUAUCAGCGUAUUACGGAAGGGGGGAUACACUGCACCCAGCCUUGUAGUGCCUUACUAGGGCUGGAGUAAUCCGACCCGAGGCUAUAUUGGGGCUGGCAGCAGAAGUGUUAUUUGACAGAAGCUCUGCACACACUGGAGCGGCAAACAUCUUCUCUGUAUUCACACAGGUGGAGCACAUAGAAAAGGUUGGCACAAACCCCAAAGAGCAGAAGUCCCUAAACGGAUUGACCCAGUCAUCUCUCAACGCUUAUUUCUUGGACGAUAUACACUCUCUUAGAAUGGAUAGCCAGCCAGCCUUCCAU